UACGAAGGGGGCUAGCGUUGUUCGGAAUUACUGGGCGUAAAGCGUGCGUAGGUGGUUCGUUAAGUCCGUUGUGAAAGCCCCGAGCUCAACUUGGGAAUUGCAGUGGAUACUGGCGAGCUGGAGUGCGGUAGAGGAAGGUGGAAUUCCCGGUGUAGCGGUGAAAUGCGUAGAGAUCGGGAGGAAUACCGGUGGCGAAGGCGGCAUCCUGGACCGACAUUGACACUGAGGCACGAAAGCGUGGGGAGCAAACAGG
rnacentral:rRNA from 1 species